GCAGGGCCUCGGGCGGCCGCGGGGAGCCCACCAGCUGCUCCCGUGGCCGGCCCCGGCUGCGAGCCACGGUUCUGUGGGUGCACAACCUGGGAACGGUUGUUUUCUGGGGCUCGUUCCGGUGUCGCCUGAGCGGGUGUGUCGGGCAGGACGUUCCUGCUUGUCCAGGCUCAGGGUGUAUGUCCCCGGCCCCUGCUCCGUGUCCUGCAUCCCACCUCAAAAAGUGACCCCAAUACCCACAUUCCGCCCCCCCCCCCGAGGGUAGCACCGCUCAUCCUCAGAACUCCAAGACAGCCCUGUUCUUCGCUCCGUGCUAAACAAGGUCACCUACCUCGUGGGAACCACCCAGAGAGUAUUCAGGAAAGAACAAAUGCACUUUUUCACCUAAAAUGUCAAUGUCAAGAUGGCAAGUUCUUACAUCUUGGGGAAAAGAGCCUUGUCUCACUAUGGGAUUAGCCUCUGGAUUUGAUGACAACUUCCCUCUUUUUAAGCCAAACCAGUGGAGAGCAAAUAAAAAGUAUCCACAAACCUCAGUCUUGAGCCUCCUAGUCCUGUAUUUACAGUGAGGUGCUAAUAAGCAGGACAUAAAUUUCAGAGUAAGUGGGAAUUAUUCGCUUAUAGUCUCUAGAUCCUGAUAACCACAAAAAGCUGUGUGUGGUGCACAUUUUCUCACUGCAGAUGGAGCUUAGCUUUCACCAUUUUUUACACUAGUAGAGAAUCAAUUAGUUUUUCAAUACACUGUCCAACUAUGCCCAGGUUAUUUUUCUAAGCAAUUACUGAGAUUUCUAGCACUACUAAACUUUGUCUCAAAUGCCAAACUGAAGCUGGCGCCAUAAUGAGAAUGCUAAGGCAGCUUCAGGCCUGUUCUUUCAAUAAUAAAAGCUUUUUUCUUAUAAAAAGUAUCAUGGGGUAUUCUCAAACUGAACUUUUGGCUGCCAGCCAAAACUGGGUCAAAUACAACAUUUAAAACUAAAGGAAGCUUGUGGAAAAGAACUUCCUGGCUCUAGGUUAGCUAGUAUGGCAGGGAAGAAAGUUACAUUUUGCAAAUUGUUUUAAGACAUAUUUUGGUCCCUUUUCCAUUUAGACAUCCUGUGAAAUGAUUUACCGUAAUUAAGAGAGUACAUGUUUCAUUCCUGUCUUUCAUCAAAAAGAAGGCAGUUGACUUGUGCCGUGUGAUUGCUGGCAGAUGUAUAGUCGGGAGAAUUCCCUACUUUGACGGGAAAUUUAAGUUUCUUCAGUUUAACUUCUGCCAGAGCAUGUCUGAAGCUUUGGAUCUACUUCAAACUAGGUUAAAGUUUUAAAGUACUUACCACUUUUACCAAGUUCACCUUCACAACCGCCAGAUGAAGCUAGUACUUUUAUUAGCUCCACCCUGCCCACGCGAACACCCAGCACAAACAGAUUACGGCACAGGAACCCUGCCAACACAGCUCUGAUUGGGAGCAUCCUGAAGGCUCAGAAAGCACUCUUCGUUUAGAAUGUCUACCCUCCUGGGUGCGCAAGCAUGCUGAGAAGGCAGAUGCCCCUGAAGCACCCUGUCCUGGAUUUCAGCGUCAUCAUAGCCCCGCAGUCGAACCAUCUGACCUGAGGCAAAUUACUACCUCCUGGGAGAUGCAGCUGCCCUGAGGACUGAUUAGAAAACAUUAGAAAGAGCUUCCCUUCCCCUGCCCCAUCCUUCCAGAGGCUUCACUCUGCUUACCUGCUCCAGCAACCCCAGGGGGGGAAGGAAGAGAACUUGCACACUGCAGGUCAGGCAGUGGGAACUCGCCUCUACACUCGAAAGGUUUGCAAAACCCACCCAGGGUGUGGAGCUGCACUGACCAUUAUCUCAGAUGUUGCUCCUUUAACCCCUAGGUCAUUCAACGUAACCGCUAACACACACAUUUGGAUCCUUAACAAAAUCCUCUGUAAAUCCAAGGGUCUCUCUUAUAUCUGCACUGGCCACAGAACCCCUCUGUACUCACUUUCAGGCUUAACAGGAACACUUUUUUCCCUUGCCCCUUCCUAUGACAAGCCCUCUCCUCAACUAUGCUACCACCACUUUGCAGUGCCAGUACGAGUUUUUGGUUGUUUUUUCUUAAUAUCUGAUAUAGAUAAUAUAUUCAAAACCUGAAUAAAGAUGGAAAGAGGCCAAUUAAAUAUGUGAUGGUCAA